CUUCUUCCAUGCUAUGGCUAGCGGGACGGCCGAUGACUGCUCCAAACUCCGACUAGGAGAAGGACAUGGUGGGAUGGGGAGAACUCGGUGUCGGGCCGCCGUGCGUGAAGCAAGUGCCCUUGAUGCCAUGAGGCUCGUCGUCGGGCAUGAGCAGGAAGCAGUCGUCCAGCUCCGGGAUCUCUCUCCGAUGGCACAACUGCUUCAAUGUGUUCUACACCCCGGAAGGGAGCGUUAUGAAGGAUGAGAUACAAUAAGAAAUCUGAGAAGGUUUGGCCGUUGAUGUCAUCGAUGAACAAAAGACUGAUGAAGCUUGGUGAUGUAAUUAGAUGGGAUUGCUAGCUGUAUAUGUUGGCAUUCGUGUGAUGUGAGAUAGUACGUUUGUAGUUUUGUAUGUUGUAUGGCAAAGCUUGAAAAGAAAUCAUAUAGUGGAUUUUGAAUGUGCA